rnacentral:rRNA from 1 species
GGCGGACGGGUGAGUAAUGCCUAGGAAUCUGCCUGGUAGUGGGGGAUAACGUUCGGAAACGGACGCUAAUACCGCAUACGUCCUACGGGAGAAAGCAGGGGACCUUCGGGCCUUGCGCUAUCAGAUGAGCCUAGGUCGGAUUAGCUAGUUGGUGAGGUAAUGGCUCACCAAGGCGACGAUCCGUAACUGGUCUGAGAGGAUGAUCAGUCACACUGGAACUGAGACACGGUCCAGACUCCUACGGGAGGCAGCAGUGGGGAAUAUUGGACAAUGGGCGAAAGCCUGAUCCAGCCAUGCCGCGUGUGUGAAGAAGGUCUUCGGAUUGUAAAGCACUUUAAGUUGGGAGGAAGGGCAGUUGCCUAAUACGUAACUGUUUUGACGUUACCGACAGAAUAAGCACCGGCUAACUCUGUGCCAGCAGCCGCGGUAAUACAGAGGGUGCAAGCGUUAAUCGGAAUUACUGGGCGUAAAGCGCGCGUAGGUGGUUUGUUAAGUUGGAUGUGAAAUCCCCGGGCUCAACCUGGGAACUGCAUUCAAAACUGACUGACUAGAGUAUGGUAGAGGGUGGUGGAAUUUCCUGUGUAGCGGUGAAAUGCGUAGAUAUAGGAAGGAACACCAGUGGCGAAGGCGACCACCUG